CCUACGGGAGGCAGCAGUGGGGAAUAUUGCACAAUGGAGGAAACCCUGAUGCAGCGACGCUGCGUGAAGGAAGAAGUAUUUCGGUGUGUAAACUUCUAUCAACAGGGAAGAAAAUUACGGUACCUGACUAAUACUCCCCGGCUCACUACGUUCCAGCAGCCGCGGUAAUACGUAGGGGGCAAGCGUUAUCCGGAUUUACUGGGUGUAAAGGGAGCGUAGGAGGUUUAGCAAGUCAGAAGUGAAAGCCCGGGGCUCAACGCCGGGACUGCUUUUGAAACUGUUGAACUAGAUUGCAGGAGAGGUAAGUGGAAUUCCUAGUGUAGCGGUGAAAUGUGUAGAUAUUAGGAGGAACACCAGUGGCGAAGGCGGUUCACUGGACUGUAAAUGACGCUGAGGCUCGAAAGUGUGGGGAGCAAACAGGAUUAGAUACCCGAGUAGUC
rnacentral:rRNA from 1 species